rnacentral:rRNA from 1 species
GACGAACGCUGGCGGCGUGCUUAACACAUGCAAGUCGAACGGAAAGGCCCUGCUUUUGUGGGGUGCUCGAGUGGCGAACGGGUGAGUAACACGUGAGUAACCUGCCCUUGACUUUGGGAUAACUUCAGGAAACUGGGGCUAAUACCGGAUAGGAGCUCCUGCUGCAUGGUGGGGGUUGGAAAGUUUCGGCGGUUGGGGAUGGACUGGCGGCUUAACAGCUUGUUGGUGGGGUAGUGGCUUACCAAGGAUUUGACGGGUAGGCGGCCUGAGAGGGUGACCGGCCACAAUGGGACUGAGGGAGGGCGCAGUCGGGUACGGGAGGCAACGGGGGGGAGUAUUGCACAGUGGGCGGAAGUCGGAGGCAGCGACGCCGCGUGCGGGAAGACGGCUUUUGGGGUGUGAACCGCUGUCGCCUGUGACGAAGCGUGAGUGACGGUAAUGAGUAAAGAAGCACCGGCUAACUACGUG